UCAACAAUGGUUCUUUUCACUCAACUGCAAUAUUCUCCAGCCAACCCCUUCUCUCUCUCUCUCUCUCUCUCUCAUGAUUACAAUGCAUUCAUUUCAAGCUAUGAUCUCAUUAUAAAUGCCUUGAUCUUAAAUCAAUUAUGUUGCACACCAUUCAUUCUAUGUAGUUUUAAUAAUUAGUGCUCUUAUAAUAUGGAGCCCUCUGAAUUUUCAUCUAGCUCCUCCCCCUUCUUUUCUGCCAAUGAUCAUGUUGAGACCCUCAAUCUUUUUCCAAAUUAUAAGACCCCAAAUGCUUAUCUUGAACCUCUACCACUGAUAAACUGCCUGCUUCGUUCACCUGAGCAUCAGGUGCCUAAUUACCAUGAUGAAAACCCUAAAGCAUGCAAUGAAGAUCAUAAAGAGGAUGAAGUCACUGUGGCCCUGCACAUUGGCCUUCCAGAAUAUUCAGAUGGCUCUAUGAACUAUUUGAAUGAGAAGGAAGAUGAAAACAAUGUGACAGCACAAAAAUAUUGGAUUCCAACUCCAGAACAAAUACUCAUUGGCUUCACCCAUUUUUCUUGCCAUGUCUGCUUCAAAACAUUUAACCGCUACAAUAAUCUGCAGGUACGUACGGUUAGUUGUCUAAAUUAUAAUCUAAGUCUCUUUCGAAUAUUUGGUACAAAAUUUCACAUAUAUAAGAUACAUACACACACAAAUGUUCAAUAUAUGAAUCCCUUUCACAAUUCGGUAAUUAAACUGAAGUCUAUUUGGUUGGCUUGGAGGGUUUUGGUUUAAUACCAUAUAUUAUUCCUUGAUUUUAAAAAGAAAACCUUUCGAGCCAACCAAACGGACUUCAGUUUAGCAUUCGAAACCCUCAAGCCAUGCUUUGGUUUGAUUAACAACGUUGGAAAAAUUUACUACCUGAACUUUAGAAGUUUCCUUUUAUAUGUUCUUAUUAAUUGAUUUCACUAUUCCUAUGCUUUUCACUGUCAUGUCAUCAUUCCCAUGGAAGAUGCACAUGUGGGGGCAUGGGUCGCAGUAUCGAAGAGGGCCAGAGUCACUGAAAGGAACACAGCCUCGAGCCAUGCUAAACAUCCCAUGCUAUUGCUGUGCAGAAGGUUGCAAAAACAACAUAGACCACCCAAGAGCAAAGCCUCUAAAGGACUUUCGGACCCUUCAAACACACUACAAGAGGAAGCAUGGCAUGAAGCCCUUCAUGUGUCGCAAGUGUGGGAAGCUGCUGGCAGUGAAAGGAGACUGGAGAACACAUGAGAAGAAUUGUGGCAAGCGCUGGCUUUGCAUUUGUGGUUCGGAUUUUAAGCACAAGAGAUCACUCAAAGACCAUAUCAAGGCUUUUGGCCAUGGCCAUAGACCUUUUCCACCUAAUUCUUUUGAUGAAGUCAGGGAUCUUGAUGAGGAUACUAGUACCACACCAUCGUUGUUUAAAGGCAUGUCAAGUGACACAACCUCUUAACGCAAAUGAAAAUUUUGUGUUCCCCUCUUGAACUUUUUAUGAUGAAGAAUCGUUGACGAAGAUUUGAAUGAAAAAUUCUAUGAGUUUGAUACACAAAUCAGUUGACUAUUUCCAUGAUAUUUUCCUUUCAGUAGAAAACUGUGGUGUCAUGUAAUUUAGAGAUCAUAUUUGUAAGGGAAAUUCUGAAAAAUAGCCAACUUCUCAGCACUGUAAAGAUUUUUAAAAUAAAAAAAGGUAAAAUUUGAACCAUUUUAACUAAAAAAAGACUUAGAAAGGCAGCAUGGGAAUUAAACUUGGCCACCAAAAGUUAGGAAACAAACAUCAACUGCGCUGCAGCCUGCACACAAUGGUUAGCGCUGCACAAUAAACUUGACUUUAUUGUGAUAAAUAGUUUGUUUCAACUUUCAAGCCCUCCUUGAUGCGAGACCCUAGGAGGUCGCCUCAUGGGACUCCCUUCAGGGCCGACCUCUUGCUAUUUCUUAGAGCAAAUAAUGUUUAUAAUAAUAAGAACUUACUAUGUAUGUGUCUAGCUCUCACGUUACACUACUAAGAAAAACAAUGGGCUUGUUUAUUGGUCUACAAAAGGGGUUUGUAUUGGCAUUUUUGGUGCCUAAUAUAUCGAAGUAGUAAUUUUUAGUAUAUUUGGUACCAAAAAAUUCAAUACAAACCCCUUUUGUGAAGAACCUAUCAUGUUGGCGAGUGUAAAAGUUUCUUUUCUACUUAAUUAGUUUAAGAUCCAUAAAUUGAUAAUAUUAGUGAGAAACACUUACUUUCAAGAGAGUUAAAAAUUUUUGAACAUUUUAGAAUUCCUUAACACUCUCAAAUUUCCUCAUCCCAUGUGCAUGACUUUAAGUGUUUUUCUAAAUUAUGAAUUAGACUUUUGAGAGGCUUAUUUGUGAAAGCCAUUUCUUUUUUCCCCAGUUACAAGUACUUGGGCUUACAAUAAGGCAUUAUUGUGCUUUCUCAGGCAUACACAGGAACUUUUGUGAAAAUGGAUGCUUUAGUGAGGGAACUUGGGUGGACGAUGAGUGGCAGCCUGGCAGGUGCUGGGCCAAAGCCAGCCAACAUCUGUUUUCUUUUUUCAAUUGUAUCCCAAGGUACAAAAGUGAAAUUUAAAGUUUGCCAAAAACUAAAGGGUCACGAAAAGUAAAAAUUCAAAGAGGGAUGAUAGAGACUCAGGUAAUGGUCAUAAUAAUGGAUAAUGCUCUAAAUUACUCGUAUCGAUAAAUGAAAAUUAUAGGGAAAAAAGGUAUCUAAAGAGUACAGCCGCACGGCUAUACUAUUAAAAAAAAUUAGAGAGAACCGAGUAUAGUCGUGCGGCUAUACCAUUGUUUAAAGAACCGAGUAUAGACGCGUUUAUUUUUUAAAAAGACCGCAGCGCUUAGUCUCUCACGUGUAAAAACAGUAUAGCCGUCGGCUAUCGCCCGGCUAUACUAGUUUAAAAAAAUUUAAAAGCUCGUAUAGCCACACGGCUAGACUAUUUUAAAAAAGCAAAAAAAAAAAAAAGAAAAAAAAAAGAGUACCUGCCUAUCCAUUAGCCUCUCACAUUCAUUCAUAGUUAGUAAAAUACAAAACGAAAAAAAAUAUGAAUAAAAUACGUAUGUGUUUUAUCCGGUAAAAUUUUGGCAAAUUACAACUUUAAAGUAUGGCCACUAUAUUAUAUUUUAAUAUAAUUCAUAUACAUUUUUAAUAUAUAUUAUUUUUAUUUAAUAAUUUGUGAGAAUUAUGUGUACAAUACGUGAUUUUUGUGUGUCUUAUUGAAAAUUUUGUAUUAAACACGUGUAUUAAACAUGAAAAAUACAUACGUAUGUGUACGAUACGUGUAUUGUAUGUUGGUUUUUUAAAUACGUAUAUUUUACCGAGUCUUUAAGACGUGUACGAAAAACAGAAGUAUUAUUGAAAAGCACAUACGUGUUUAAUACAAGUAUUAAACGGGAAAAUGCUAAAUUCUUUAAACGGUAAAAACUCACGAAAAGUAAAAACUCAAAAGGAGACAAUAGAGACUCGAGAAAUGGCAUAAUAGUAACAGAUAAUACUCUAAACUACCAUUGUAGACAGAAAUUUCGAGUACCAGAAGAACUUCUUUUGAAUUUAUUUUAAAAAUUUUAUAUAUUGGAGGAUUGGAAUGCAGGACUUCGAAUUCAAGUGUAAACACUCAACCCAUUGAGCUAACAUAAAAUCAAAAGUUGAAAUCACAUAAUUGAUGUCCCUUGCUUGAUAUAGUUUCUUGCCUUUUUGAUGGUUUGCUUGUGACAUGGAAUCAAAAUUCGAAAUCACAUCAUUGAUGUGUAUAUUGAUCAAAUGUUCCAUUUUAAAAUUACAAGAGUUCGUGAAGCAUUAUUAUUAGAUACGCCAACUUGGAAAGCAAGCACAUAAAACAAACAAAAAAGCAAAAAGGAACUUCUCAUGACCCAAGAAAUUCAAAAAAUACACAAAAGCACAUAAAAAUUCAAACAAAAAGGAACUUCUUAUCAGGAACAAGAUGAUCCAAGUAUGGACUGAAACAACUAGUUAGAUUCUAGUCAAUUCAGAUUUCUUGGAGAAAGAAGAACCCGGUUAAUCAUGUUGUCCAAAGCCAAGAAUGAUAACCCAUUUGGACCAGUAGCGGCCUCCUCUGCCAACUUCUUCCAUUCCGUGGCUUUCUUCCUCAUCUCUUUGCCCUUCUCUCCCUCCAUUAAUGUUCGCACAAGGUCCUCUAUGUAGUUUCUUUUAACAUCACCCUCUAUCUCUAUGCCUACGCCCCAUUCUUUGCAACAGAACCUGCAAUUGGUUUGUUGCUCUGCAAAGAAGGGCCAACAGAUCAUGGGCACUCCACCACACAAACUUUCAAGGGAAGAGUUCCAUCCACUGUGUGUCAAGAACCCUCCUACAGCUGGGUGGCUCAGGACUUGUUCUUGAGGGCACCAACUUGAGAAUAGACCCCUUUCUUCGGUCUCUUCCAAAAACUCCGGUGGAACCACAGCGGAUUCUCCAAGAACAAGGUCAGGCCUUAUAACCCAUAAAAAGGCCUUGUUGCUAUUUGCAAGUCCCCAAACAAACUCAAUUAGUUGCUCAGAUGUCAUGACUGUGAUGCUUCCAAAGUUGACAUAAACCACAGAAUUUGGUUCUUUUGAGUCAAGCCAUUCAAGGCACUCUGUUUCUUCUCUCCAUAGAUUUGAUUCAAUCGACUUCAAAUUGUUAUAAUCUGGUGGAAUCUGACUAACCUGUAGUUGAAGGGGUCCAAUGCAGUAAAUAGGUGGUAGCAAAGUCGAAAGUGCAUCCAGAACUUCAAGCUCUAAGGCGUCAAAUGUGUUGAAAAUGAUUGCUGAAGCUUUCUGGGCUCGUUCGUACUCACUCACAAGAUAUUUCAGCAUGAUGUCAUUUGGAUCUGUGGUUCUGACGAAGGUUGGCAAGUCCCUCAAACGAAUAUGUCUCAUGCCUGGUAUCCAAUCUAUUACAGUAUCUAAAUACCCAUUUGUCAAAUAGCUGGCAUCUGCAAAUCAAAUAGGUCUUCUGAGUCAAACAUUCUAACCAAAAAAGAAAAAAAAAAAAGUUAACAAUUUUAUUAUGUAGUGUCCCCAAAUGACCAGUGAGGAAUUUGAAGUAAAUUCCUCUUUUUUUUUUUAAUUGAUUAUUUUUGAAGAUUGAAAUAUUCUUUUAUUAGACAAAUGCGAACGUUGUUAGAUUGAAUAUAUAGUAUACAAGAGUCAACUUGAUUACUAUUCAGAUUCACAUUCUAAUAAUAUAAAUAUUGUUUGACAAGUGAACGUUCUUGUCAGUAUAAUAGUACCUUUAAGAGGAAUUAAACCCUUUUCCAUCAGAGGGAGAUACUGAAGGUAACCCAACGAGCCACAAGCACUCGUUGUUUCGAAAAGAACACAGGGAAUGCCAAAUUCUUGGGCUGCAUCAAGUGAGAAUGUCAUGCCACCAUCAGAAACUAAGCAAGUAACUGGAGGGGAAUGGGGUAAAGAGUUAAGCUUUGAUAAAAGGUCUCUGAAGGGUGCUAAGCAAUUUUUACUAGUGGAAAGGCAUAGGGAUGGUAUGUCUUGGGUGGCGUUGUCAUCAGAUGGAGGGAGGCCAUCAGGAAUGGUCUCGAAUUGAAAGGAGGGGAGGCCGUCGAGAGAGUUGGGACCUCGAGAUUUAAGGAGGCGUUUGUGGUUGAACUCUGUGUUCACAAAGGUUAUAUGAAAACCUUUGUAGUGGAGGAGCUUAGCUAAUUUCAGCAUUGGGGUUAUGUGACCUUGAGCUGGGUAGGGUAUGCAAACUGCAUGUGGCUUCUUUGUCAAGGCAACAGAACCCAUUCUCUCGUUUCUCUCAAAUCACACACAAAACCUAUGGAAAAUAGGAUAUGCUAUGGUGAAGAGCACCUGCAGUUUUAUAGCAGUGACAUACAAUGUCAAUAAUUGGUGGUCAAUCAUGGACCUGGACAUGUACAUUGUAUUCUCUGAUCAACUUUGCCACAUUUUUAAAUCAUGACCAUUCCUUUUAUUUCCAUUCCGCACCAAUCAUGUCUAAUUAACGACAAAUCGUUAUGUUCUUCAAUCUAGAAUGCGAGAAACGUGUGAAACAGAACAUGUAUAAUCACUAUAUUCCUCAGGCAGAUGUGAGCCAUACCCAAGUUUGGCCAAGCCCAAAAGCAAGACUUGUUUGGGCAAGCUAACCUCACGUUGACGUCAAUAGCCAAUUUAAAUAUUAAAAAAACGAGAAAAAAAAAUGAAAAAAUUCAGAAUUUUUUAUAUAUAAAUACCUAGUCAUAUUCUUCACUUCUCACACCAAAACUCCAUAUAAAUUUAUCUCCUCAUAUUUCAUGUGAAUAGUUGUUGCUCUUGAGUUGCCAUAACAAUGGGUGGGAAUGCAUAAAAAAGAUUUGCUAAGGCAGUCACUAUUCAUAUGAACAGUAAUAGUCCUUGUCUUUUGCCAUGGCAAAUGGGUGAUAGUACUCUAAGAAGAGGGACAUUGCACCCAACGAAAACUAGGUCAAAGCAUAAUAAACAUGAAUGGGCGAAAUAAUCUACGCGAAACCUAGCAAAUAAUAUGAGGCAUAGUUGUAAAAACUAAGGAUAAUAUAGUAAAUUAACAAUUUUUCAUAUUAAAAUUUUUUUUAAAUCAAAAUCAAAGUAAAAACAUGGUCCUAUUUUCACGAGACACAAAAAUCAAACUCAUUUUCUCUUUCGUAAUUUUAAAGUUAAAAAAAAAAAAAAAACAACUAGUGUAUCGGCUAAGUAAGAUAUGAGGAACAAUACGGCUUUUUAUAAAUUCAGCCAGAUAACUCAUGGUGUGGUUACUAAUCAGGAAUUGGAAUUCUCAUCAGGAAUUGAAUUCCACUUAUAGAGGAAUCCUGUGUUUAUUUCGUAUCAAGGAAUUGAAAAGUGAGUGGGGUCCGCACGAAAUUAGGAUUUGAAUUCCUAAUUUUGGAGGAAUUCAAUUCUUGGAUGGGAGGUGAUAUUCUAAUUCUUGGAGAAUUAACCCAUUAGGAAUUUAUCUUUUUUACCCAUUAUAUCCUCACACAAUUUUCAAAUUUUCAAAUUUGCCAUCUACUUAAACCCAACAACUAGGACGAUUUAGUAAUUAGUACCACUCAUACCCCAAUUCUAUAUGGUUUAGUAAACAACUUCAAUGAAAAUCUGAAAUCUAAUUCUCCUUAAUCCAACUCUUCCUCAAUUCAAUUUCUUUUAAUCCAAUUACGAAUAAACAUGCCAUCAGUUGCUUGUUCGGCCUGGUGUCUGAUAUUCAUUAUAAGUUGGGCUGAGCCCUUUUGGGCUUGCCUUGUUUUGGAACUUCUUUUUUUAUUUUUCUUUUUUGUGCUUAAUAUAUUUUUGUUGUACAGAAAAAAAAAAAGAAAAAAAAAGAAAAAGAAAGUGAUAACAGCACCGAUCGAGCUUUCAUGAAAGCACAUGUAUUCAUAGUACAAUUAUAGAGAGAGCACGUCAUCUUAGCCAACUUGCAUAUUAAUCCAAAAACCUGCCAAGGAACAUGGUAUGCAAGCAGUAUCACCACUGGCACCACAGAUAUCUGAUUUCUAAUGUCAUGCUAUGUUUCAUACGGCAGAUGGAUAGGGCUUUAAAGCACAAAUCAGAUCUUCCAAAUCUCGGCAAAAAUUUACCUAUUUCAUUGCAUCAGCUCCCAAGAAAAUGCCAGUCCUUGAGCCAUAUUAGACAUCCAUUUCUUUUUGUCGUGCUAAAUAUUGAAAAGCCAACAUGGAGUGGACCACCUAAGAGCAAACAAAUCCUUUAAGAGUCGGUCCAUUUGGAUGGAGUGAUUUCAAAUUCCGGGAGUUUGAAGAAAUUAUAAGGUUAAAUUUUUUUAUUUAGAUUAUUACGAUAUAUGUAUACUAAGAUUUGAAUAAGAAUGAAAUGACGAAAACAAAUGAAUUAUUGCACAUAGUCAUUUGAAACUCAUUCCGAAUAUACUAUAUUUACGGCUAGUUAUCUCAAACACAUUCGAUCUAAUCUUUUCUUUCUGCGACUUCCAUCCAAACGGAGCCAGAUUUCGGGCCUUUCAAACGCACUACAACAGGAAGCAUGACAUUGACAUGGAAGCCCAUUACGUGCAGCAAGUAUGGCAAGUAGUUGGCAGUGAAAGAUGACCGGAAACGCAUGAGAAGGAGCAAGCGUUGGAUUUGCAUUUGUUUUUGUGGUUCAGAUUUCAAGCACAUCACUACAAAAAGUAAGUGGAAGAUGUUGACAUAUAUGGAGAAAUCUCCAAUGCUGUCUAUAAUUAUUGUUAGGUUUGAAUAAUUCUCAUGGUAACAAAAAAUGUGAAGACACGGAUGCCAGAGAACGAAAGACAAGGGCUGCAUGGAAAUUAUUAUUAUAUUUUGGUCGAAAGAUGGAAAUUAUUAGAAAAAGUACAAAUAAGUGCCCGUCACACUCCAGACAAGUGGGCAUUUGCGUGAGAUUCCACUCCUACAUGCCCUUUGGAGGAGGGAAAGGUUAAAAUUUGUUUGAGUUGUUCUUCUUUAUUUUUCCAUUUAUCAACAUGACUUUCUACUUAUAAUUGUAUUUUGAAGUGAGAAUUAGUGCUUAAAACAUGGAAUUAAUUAGUGGAUACAAGUGAGGUCCGAAAGAGAAAAGUGAACUCAGUUUGUAUUUUAGUAAAUAUAUGGAAGAAAACUCCAUUUAGAUCCAAAACUUGAAUUGGAAAAUUUUAAUUUUAUUUCCUGAUACCAUUUUCGGUAAAAUUCUACGCGUCUCAAUUAUACAACCAGCCAAAUUAAGCUAAUACAAACGGUUUGAUUGAGUUUUUACACUAAAAAAGUUAAUCUUAAACGAAACUGAACCAAAUAGCAAUUAUUCAUGAAAGCUACAUAAACCGAAUCAAACUACCUAUAUUAAUCUUUGUUUUUUUUAACACCUAACAUUUUCUGUAUUGGUUAUUAUCACCAUCUCAUGUGUUUGUUUCAUUCCAUAAUGCACCUCCUUUUUAUUAUUAAACUUCUCCAUCUUCAAUGGAACUAAAAUGUUUGCUUAAUUAUUGUUUAUGCCACUAGUUUAAGAUCUAAAGCAAACAUGAUAUUAUAUUACAGUUCGGAUAAUGAUCAAAACCGAAGGUGAUAAUGUAUUAAAUUGGCGUGAUGUUCUAGGUGUAAACUAAAGUGAACUAAACAAGGCGGAUCCCUUCAAAGCGCCGCUGAUUGCAUUGCAUGCAUAAGAUUGUGAUGCAACACUGGAGUCUGGAGAGCCAUGAAGCCAAUGCACAUUAACACUGGAGUCUGGAGAGCCAUGAAUUCAAUGCAAUGUGCAUUGGCUGUUGGACUAAUUCGUAAUAAACAUUAGAUAUUAAUUGAUGAUCUGACGAAGCCGUUCAUAAGCAAUGAAUAUGUAUAUUUGUGCGUUAUAGAGUGAUACGGUAUCAUCACGUCAACUAGUGAUAUUCUCAUUUAAAAUUUGAUAUGUAUCAAUUUUAAAAGAAAAUUAAAAAACAAUUACACAUGAACUUUGUCUUUCAAGUUCACCCUUCAACAUUAAUUAGACCUAAUCCCUCUCCCACCAUCUCUUCUCUCUUUUCCCUCGCCACCCACCCCAGCCUUUCUCUCCCUUCUCCUCCAACAUCACCAACCCCUCUUUACCUCCCUCUCAUUAACGCAUUAAGAAAAAACCAAAAAUCUUGUCUUGAAUAUAUAUGUGCAAAUCAGAAAUAUUCAAAAGCAUCUUCUAUGAUGAUAAGUUGACAACCCACAAAUGAAAGAAAUGUAAUGAUGGAUGUUUUGGGCAACCAAGUAACCUGGUAGACAGAUUGCCGAUGGGAUCUUGGUGGGACACUGCUACAAUCUUGUUUUCUUUUUCAUGUUUUUCAAAAAAAGUUAAAUAAAAUUUAUUCAGAGUAAAGUUAGAAGACAAAGUACAACUAUGAAAAAAAUAUAAUUAUUUUUUUAAAAUUGACACGUGUUAGAUUUUGAGUGGGAGUAUCACCCGUUGACGUGGUGAUACCAUCUUAUUCUAUAAUUUCUCCUGUGCAUAAAGCCAUAUUAUAUUAUUAGACAACUAUAUAUAUAUAUAUUUUUUUUUUCUGCAAUGAAUUUAAGCUCAAUCUCAGUAGAAACUAUUAUAUUUCGUUUGGUGGUUCGGAUUAAAUUAGAUUAGAAUUGAAUUUAAGCUAGUUCUUAUUAGUCUUAUUCAUUUUUAUAAGAUACAAUAUGUAGAAUGGUUGUCCAUUUUAAUAAGAUCAUUUCCGGAGCACCGAAACAAUUAAGACUAUAACCAUUUAAUUGAUAUAGUCCAGUACAAUCCCACCCAGGGGCAGUUCUACACCUAGGGCAAGGUAGGUUGCUGCCUAUCCCAAAUUUUUCAAAAAGGAAAAAAUACCCAUAUGUAAUAGGCCAACCCAUGUGAAACAUACAAACCUAUGCCCACCCAAAAAGCAACCCACAUGUAUGCAUAAUCUAAAAUUUCUCUCCUCCUUAAUUAUCUUCUCUUUAAUUUCCUACCUCCAAAUUUUAAGAUGUUGUAUAUGACAACAUUGAAUAUAACAUAUUUUAAAUAGGUUAGAAGUUAUGUGUUCUAAUCAAUUUUAGGGUUUACUUAAGAAUGAAUUAUAAUUUGUUGACUUUGUUGAAAUUAAUUAGGUCUUUGGAAUUUUGUUGAGAUGUUUGAUUUGAUAUUGGUAUUGUUGAGAAGUUUGAUUUGUUGUUGGUAUGUUAAUGUUUGAUUAAAGUCAUUGAUGCUAUUAUGACAAUUUAUUUGAUUUUUUGUUGGGAUGUUGGAUUAAAUAGGUUAUCUUUUGGGAUGCCUAUGCCUAUGCAAUCUUAGUUGGGAUGCCUAUGCUAGAGUUUCUUCGAUCUUGCCUGAUCGUUAGUGGAGACAUACAUGAUUUUCUUAAUUUUAAUAUUAGACCACUCUGUUAUUGUAAUGAUCCUUUUGUGGCUAGUUUGUAUUGACCUUUUAUGGCUAGUGGCUUUUUUGGCUGAAUUAUGAAUGCAAUCAUAGAAUUUCUCAAAAAAAAAAAAAAAAAAGGUUAUCUUUUGUUAUAUCGGAUCACAAUCUGAACCCCAAGAAAACAAAGAAUUUUUUGGAUUUUUUUUUAUAAGAAAAAGAAUAGGUUUUUUUUUUUGGCUAAACUUUUAUUUAUAUAUAGAGAUGUAUUUGAGGGUAAGACUUAUUACGUCCCCCUACUAAAGUGUAUAUUUUUAUGUUUUUUUUUUUUUAAUGAGAUUCACUCAUAACAUUGAGUUUUUAAUGUAGACUUCGCCCAACUGAAUUUCGAAUCUUGAAUCCACCAUUAAUCUCACCCACUAUACACACAUGAAACUGCAAAUUAAGAACAGAAAUAGUACCCUUUAUUUAGAUUAAUAGGCAGUUGAAUUUCUCAAAAGCCUCGGCAAACGGUACAUAUUUUAUUUUUUUUAUCAGGAACUGGAUGAUCCAAAUACAGAUUAAAACACCAGAAAGAAAAAAAAGAACAAGAUGGAAUUGAAUCAAUUCUAAUCUCUUGGGGAAAGAAGCACUUUGCUAACCACAUUUUCCAGAGCCAAGUAAGACGACCCUUUUGGGGCAGUGGCGUCCUCUGCCAACUUCUUCCAUUCAAGGGCUUUCUUCCUCAUCUUUUUGCCCUCUUCUCCAUCCAUCAAUGUCCUCACAAGACCGUCAAUGUAAUCUCUUUUAACUUCCCCGUCUAUCUCAAUGCCUAUGCCCCACUGUGUGCAGCUGUACCUAACAUUUGUUUGCUGCUCUGCAAAGAAAGGCCAGCAGAUGAGAGGCACUCCGCCACACAAGGCCUCGAGGGUAGAGUUCCAGCCACUGUGAGUCAAGAACCCUCCAAUGGCUGAGUGGAGCAGAACCUGUUCUUGAGGGCACCAACUUGCCAACAUACCCCUCUCUUUGGUCUCCUCCAAAAACUCAGGCGGCACCACAGCGGUUUCUCCAGCAACAAGGCCAGGCCUGAUGAUCCACAAAAAUGGCUUCUUGCUAUUUGCAAGUCCCCAAGAAAACUCAACCAGCUGCUCAUUUGUCAUGACUGUGGUGCUUCCAAAGUUGACAUAAACCACAGAGUUGGGCUCUUUGGUGUCCAGCCAGUUAAGGCACUCUGUAUUCUCUGCCCACAGGUUCGAUCCGAUCGCCUUCAAAUCAUUGUAUUCUGAUGGAAUCUCGCUGUAUGGUAGCUGAAGGGGUCCAAUGGAGUAAAUAGGAGGUAGCAAAGUGGAAAGGGCAUCCACAACUUCUUGCUCCAAGGCAUCAAAUGUGUUCAAAAUAAUAGCAGAAGCCUUUUUGGAUCGCUCUGUUUCAGACACCAUAUAAUGCAGCAUGAUGUCGUUUGGGUCUGUGGUUCUAAUAAAGCUAGGCAUGUCCUUCAAUCUGACAUCCUUCAUGCCUGGGAUCCAAUCAAUCUCUGUAUCCAAAUACCCAUUUGCAAAAUCCUUGGCAUCUGCAGAUCAAAUUAAGAAAUCAAUGGAACUAGUUAGCUAACACUCUUUAAGUUUUUUUUAAAAAAAGUGAACUUCUGUUUUUUUUUUUCCCUGAAUGAUUAAUUGAUAGUACCUUUAAAAGGAGUGAGGCCCUUCUCAAUGAGACGGUAAUACUGAACGUAGCCCAUCAAGCCACAAGCACUAGUUGUCCAGAAAAGCACUUCUGGGAUCCCGAAAUGCUCUGCUGCAUCAAGGGUGAAGCUGGUGACACCAUCAGCAACAAUACAAGUCACAGGAGGGGAAUCGGGUGAAGAGUUGAGCUUGGUCAAAAGCGCCUCGAAGGGUGCCAAGCAGGUUUUACUAGUGGAAUCGCACACCAAAGGCAAGUUGCGCCUGGCAUCGGCAUCAGCCGGAGGGAGGCCGUCGGGAAUGGUUUCGAAUCGAAACGAAGGGAGGCCGUCGAGAGCGUGGGAACCUUGGGAUUCAAGCAUGCGCUUGUGGUUGAACUCUGUGUUCACAAAGGUUAUGUGGAAGCCUUUGUAGUUGAGGAGCUUGGCUAAUUGCAGCAUAGGGUUUAUGUGACCCUGAGCUGGGAAGGGUACAAAAACUGCAUGUGGCUUCUCUUUGGAGGCAACUGGACUCAUUUUCUCUGUAUGAUAUCCUAGACAAAAGAGCUGAAGGGAAAUGGAGAUGAUGGGAUGCUAAGAGAAGUGUAAGAACUUGCAGUUUUAUAGUGGUGAAGGGUCAAGGGCUGCACUGUGCGGGCAAGUGCUUCUUGACCGUUGAUGCAUUUUUCGGAUUCUCUAUCUGUUUUUUUAAGAUAAAUUGAGUGCCAGUCAUUCCUCGUGGUAUGAUUAUUAUAAUCUCAGAGAUCGACCUUUCCAAAUGAGUCCAAGGCCACGGUGUCCAGAACAAAUGCUCGCACAACUACUGCCUGAUUAGUGUGUUAGAUUGGAGACAUUGUCGCAUGGCAAGUGUGAAAUGUGUGAAAUGUAUGUAGACUUCAAAACGCACACAAGGUUCAGUCAUAAUCAGAAGAGAAAUGCUGGCCGGCAACUUUCAUAAUUUCAUGGGCCAUACUCUUUUAAAUAAAGAUGUAGAAAGUCUUUAAAAAAAGGAGAAGUUUUAGAGAAUAAAUUACAUUGGGAAAAAGAAAAAGAAGUUUCACACUUUCAUUUUUUUCACUUACACUCGUGCAAAGAUAACUAGUCUUAAAUGAUUAUUCAGUAAUUUAUAAAAUAAAAUAAAAUAACAAACUAUGCUCCUGUGUAUAAGGUUGCAUUUUAUGAAGAACAAACAUUAUUUGUCACCAUCAAUUAUGGAUGUUAUUACUUUUUGGUUUAGUUUAAUAUUGAAAAGAGGGAAUAAAUACAUGACCUUGGUUAUAACUUAUAGGGACAAAUAUUCUAAGUCACUUCAGCCCCUUAUAAAAUUUCAAAUUUGACUAAACCAUAUCAUUUUUCAUCUUGACUACCCUACAAUCUCAUUAAAUCUUUCUUUUUCCAUUUGCCUAUGCUAGUCACCAGUCAUUAGAAAAUCCUUGUGGCUGGAUGUCGAAGAGUCUAUGCCAAUGCCCAUUAGUUAUUCCAUUUGAAAGAACAUGUGCUUUGUUUUAUGCAUUUACUUUUUAUUUUAUUUUAUACAAGCGAUAUUGAGGGGAGAGAAAUCGAACUUAGGACCUCGGGUGUAAGUGUAUUUGUUCUUAAUCACUUGAGCUACAAACAGGGGCAGAGCCAUUAAAGGAUUAGUGUGGUCCCAUGCCCCCACUCCAUCUUUUAUUCAUUGUAUUAUAAUAUUAUGUAUGAUGUAUAAUAUUUAACAUAUUAGACUAGUUUUAGGAGAUAUUUAUCCUAAAAUAAAUAGUAUAUUUUUUGUAUUUUUUGUCUACAACAAUAAAACUUCUUAAUCACUUUUUUAUUUCUCUCUUUUACCUUCUAGAUUAGUUUAUGAUAUUUACACUAAAAACUCCUACAUUUUUAACCUUUCUUUCUCUUUUUCUUUUGUGUAAGUUAAACUUUGUGAAUUUUUAUUUCCCUCUCUUUUUUCAUAGAUUUUAUGAACCCCUUUUGUAUUUAUUCUCUAUGUUGGAAUAUAAAUUAUUAAUUUGUGAGUUUAUAAUAUUUUAGAUGAUGAGAUUAGUACUUAACCAUUAUAAAAUAUGAAAUUGCGGACAAUUAUGAUUGUAAUGAAUGGAUAUAUUAAUCAAUAUAAAAUGAUGUUAUGAAGUAGGCCAAAAGGAGUAGUUUAAUUAGUGUCAUAUUAAUUUAGCAUAUUCUUAAUAAACUUGUGAAUGAGAAUGACUCCCUUUAAUUUGAAAUCCUGAUUCUGCCAUUGACUACAAGUCCCUUGCACAUUUACCUUUUUCAUUUAAGUCUGAAGAAUGCCUUGUAAAAAUGUAAAACGAAAACUAUUAUUGACACUGCAAAGAAAACAUCAUACAUUAAUUCAUUCAAUUGUAAUUUCUCUUAUGAUUUUAUAAUUUUUUAGAAUUCCAAUAACAGCUCUGGAUAAAAUUCAUUAGAAAGAAGAAUUGAAGUAUGUUCAAACAGAUUUCAAAAUAGACUAAACAAUUUAUCAGUAACAACUUUUGUCAGCUUAAUUCCAUUUGUGUGUCAAUUUCGUCCUUAUUAUCAUAAAUUCUGUUAUCAGUAAACAAUCCCCAUAUCAAACAGAGUGUUCAGUUAAGGACAGUGACAAUCGAGCAAUAUUGCCUGACGAAACACCAAACCAGAACUUAAAAUCACGAUAAAAAGGAAAAGAAAGACGUGCUGUCUUCAAUGAGAAAACCAACUUCAGAUCUAUUCUCACACCAAGUGAAAACAUAAGGACAAGAUUGAUGAAAUCGAUGACACAUUAACACUACAACACUGGGCGAAACUCGAGUUUCAUUGUGUUGAAAUGAGUGAUACGAGUGUGCCUUAAUCUAAGAAACAUUGCACACCGCCCAAAAAAAUACUCAAUAAUUGUAUUUUGGUCAAACAAAAAAGAUGAGCAAAUUACAAAAAAAGUAAAAAUAAAAAUAAUCAGGGAAUUCAGAAGAUGUUAUAAAGUAAUAAGCGAAGCCCAUAUAAAGAAAGUAAAAGGAUAUUAGUCAAAAGAUGAAAUUAUGAUGUUGCGUAAAAGUAUCAUUAUGUCUCCUUUAGAUGCCAUUUGCUUUGCCUAUAAAUAGGCAUCAUUUUACUUGUAAAGAUACAUGAAUGGAGAAAAGAAGAGAAAGAAGAGAAAGUGAGAGGAAAUAAGAGAGAGUGAGAAAUCUGAGUGUGUGAGUUCUGUCUAAGAAGAAAUUCUAUCAGUGUAAACAUCAUAAAGAGCAAAUAUAAUUUCACUCCCAAUAUUCAGUGGUACUUCUCAUACUCUUUAAUUUCUUUAGUUUUAUAACACGUUAUCAGCACAAUAGUCUCUCCUUUUUAUUUCUAAAUUUGUCCCAGUGUGCUCAACACUAUGUGGUUAUUUCUCUGUCUCCUCUCUGUCAUAUGUCUCAUCUCACUUUACUACUACGACGACAUGCAAACUUUCUUUUUUGUGUUCUCACAAUUUUUAUGUUGUUUCAUCCAUGCUUGUUUAAUUUACUUCUUUGUAACGUAAUUUGGAAUGAUGCCGUUUUAUACCCCAUCAUGUUGUUUUAUGGUGGUGUAAUUUUUAUUACCCAUCACGUUGUAACACAAAUUAUCAUAAUAAAAUGAUGGUGUGAUCUUAAAACCCAUAUAUUAUAUUUUGAAUAGUGGCGCAGUUAUAUUGCCUGCAAUAUAUAAUAUGUUAUAUACUUUAUAUAUUUUAGGUGGUGGUUUUUGUCUCCACAUUUACUUUAACAAAAUGGACGGUUUUCACCUCCUAUAUUUUUCAGUGGUGGUUUUAUCCCCACAUUUAUUUUAUUUAUGGUAUAGAGUAGGUUUAUUACUCAUACGGCAAUAUUUAUUUAAAAAUGUGGCACGGGUUUAUCGUCCACACAGCUGCCUUUAUUUUUAUUUAAAAGUAUGGAGCAGAAUUAGUCCCCCUGCAAGCACAUUUGCUUUAUUAUUGUAUGGUGUGGAAUUAACCUCCAUACAACAAGCAAUUUACUUUAUGAAUUUACUUUACUGCACAUUUUCUUUCAUUUAAGGUAUAGUGCGAAUUUAUCGUCCAUACCAGCAAAUUUAUGGCACUUUAUUUUUAUCAUCAAUUAAUAUACCUGAAUAAUGAGGGCCUGAAGUUCCUAUUAAUAAGUGGCUUAAUGUCCCAGAUCCCAAGCCUAAAGUUUCGGAUGGCAAAUUUGGCAAAACUGAAGUUUACUGCCUUGGACAUUUCUGGAGACAACUAUUUAUCAUGGCUUUUGGUUGCCAAAAUCCAUCUACGUGCCAAUGGCCUCGUACAAACAAUUUUAUAUGGGAAUGAUGAUUUGCCUGAAGAAAAUGCGAAGGCCAUGAUCUUUCUUCGUCACCACAUCCAUGAAGCGCUGAAAAGCGAAUAUGUGGUGGUUGAUGAACCGUUGGUUCUAUGGAAAGCUUUAGGUGAAAGAUACGAUCACUAGAAGAUGGUGACCUUCCCAAGAGCUAGAUAUGAAUGGACCUACUUGAGAUUUCAAGAUUUCAAGACAGUGUCCGAGUACAACUUUGCUAUGCACAGAAUUACCUCAUUGAUGAGGCUAUGUGGUGAAAAUAUAUCUGAGGAGGAUAUGCUCGAAAAAAACUUUGAGCACUUUUCAUGCUUCAAAUGUCCUCCUGUAGCAGCAAUACAGACAUAGCGGUUUCAAGAAGUACUCGGAACUUGUAUCUUGCCUCUUGUUAGUUGAGCAGAAUAAUGAACUCUUAUUAAAGAAUCACCAAUCUUACCCAACGGGCUCAGCACCACUUCUUGAAGUAAAUGUUGCAUCUCAAGAAGUGAAUGUCACCUCAUCCCGUGGCAAUAUCCACAGACGUGGACAAAAAGGCAAGCGUGGCUGCUGGCAAAGAAGCAAAAAAGAUCGUGGUGCUCGUUCAGAUGGUUUAGGUUCAAUGAGCAAUCAUCCACGAAUGGCAAAAAUGCAUCCCGUAAUAAGGGGAAGGCACGGACGAGCCAUGUGCCUAGAAAUGUGGGAAGUACUUGUCACAGAUGUGGUGCAAAGGGACAUUAGGCGCGUGAAUGUCAUACGCCCAAGUAUUUGGCAAGCUCCAAAAGAGUCAAGAAAUUAAAGUCAGACAAAUCCGCUCAAACGAUAACCUGGCAGAUCUCUUCACCAAAUUAUUGCCAAAAUGUACAUUUCAAAAGUUAGUGCAUGGCAUCGGAUUACGAUAACUCUUCAAGCAAUCAAAUUGAAACAUGCAAAAUUAGGGGGAGCAUUCAAGAGUCCACUAACACAGGACAUAUGAGCGUUGUACUCUUUUUCCUUCGACUAGGGUUUUUCCUAGCAAGGUUUUAACGAGGCAACAUGAGCGCAUUUAACAUUACCCUUAUGUCCUAAAUAAAGUUGUACUCUUUUUCCUUCAUUUAUGUUUUUUCCCACUGGAUUUUUUCAAGUAAGUUUUUAAUGAGGCAACCAAUCUAGGGACAUGUAGUCUCCAAGGGGGAGUGUUAUAAAGUAAGAAGUGAAGCCCACAUGAAGAAAGUAAGGAGGUAUUAGUCAAAAGAUGAAAUUAUGAUGUUGGGUAGAAGUAUCAUUAUGUCUCCCUUAGAUGCCAUUUGCUUUGCCUAUAAAUAGGCAUCAUUUUACUUGUAAAGAUACAAUAAUGGAGAAGAGAAGAGAGAGAAGAGAAAGUGAGAGCAAAGAAGAGAGAGUGAGAAAUCUGAGUAUUUGAGUUCUGUUUGAGAAGAAAUUUUGUCAGUGUAAACACCAUAAAGAGAAAAUAUAAUUCCACUCUCAAUAUUCAGUGGUACUUCUCAUACUCUUUGAUUUCUUUAGUUUUAUAACAGUAGACAAAUUCUUCAGCUACACCACCCAAGAAUUUUUCCUGGAAAUAGAGUUUUGAAAGUGGUACCAAGGACAAGUUCAUGUGACAAAAUUAAUACAUUCUAAUUUUUGGAAGAUAGAAGCACCUUGUUAACCAUUUGUUCCAAAUCCAAAAAGGAUGAUCCAUAUGGACCAGUAGUAGCCUCCUCUGCCAACUUCUUCCAUUCCAAGGCUUUCUUCCUCAUCUUUUUGCCCUCCUCUCCCUCCAUCAACUUUCUCACCAGCUCCUCCACAUAAUUUCUUUUCACAUCAUCCCCUACCUCCAACCCUACGCCCCAUUCUCUGCAGCUGUACCUACAAUUGGUUGGCUGCUCUCCACAGAAGGACCAACAGAUCAGAGGCACACCACCGCACAAACUUUCCAGUGUAGAGUUCCAUCCACUGUGCGUCAAGAACCCUCCCACCGCUGGGUGGCUCAGGACUUGUUCUUGAGGGCACCAAUGAGCCAAUAGAGACCUGUCUUUCGUCUCUUCCAAAAACUCUGCUGGAACCACAGCUGAUUCUCCCCUAACAAGGUCUGGCCUAAUCACCCAUAGAAAUUUUUUUUUGCUAUUUGCAAGUCCCCAAGCAAACUCAAUCAGCUGCUCAUUUGUGGUGACUGCAAUGCUUCCAAAGUUGACAUAAACCACAGAGUUGGGUUCUUUGGUGUCUAGCCAUUGAAGACACUCUGGCUCCUCUGUCCAUAGGUUUGAAACAAUCGACUUCAACUCGUUCUCUGCUGGGAUCUGUUUGAGUUGUAGGUUUAGGGGUCCAAUGGAGUAAACAGGUGGAAGCAAAGUUGAAAGUGAGUCUAUGACUUCAUGUUCCAAGUCAUGAAAUGUGUUCAGAAUGACGGCGGAAGCUUUCUUAGUUCUCUCUGUUUCACCCACCAGAAAAUUCAGCAUGAUAUCAUCUGGCUCUGUGGUUCUCAUGAAGGUUGGCAAGUCCUUCAAACGGAUGUUCCUCAUGCCUGGUACCCAAUCUAGCACAGUAUUUAAAUGCCCGUUUGUAAAAUAACUGGCAUCUGCAAAAUCAGAUUAACAAAGUCUGUUAUGUUUUGUUCAGAGGGAAAAACGGCAGUUUACUCUUAAUCAGACAAUUGAUUGAUUGAUUAAUACCUUCAAAAGGAGUGAGACCUUUUUCUAUGAGUUGAUGAAACUGAACGUAGCCCAUGAAACCACAAGCACUAGGUGUCCAGAAAAAAACUGCGGGAACACCAAGUUCCUGAGCUGCAUCAAGAGUGAAACUCAUAACACCAUCAGUGAUUAAGCAAGUGACACGUGGGGAAUCAGGCGAAGAAUUGAGCUUGGAGAGAAGGUCUCUGAAGUGAGGCAAGGAGUGUUUGCUAGUGGAAUCACAUAAGGAUGGUAUGUCUUGGGUGGCAUCGGCAUCGGUUGGAGGAAGGCCAUCGGAAAUGGUCUCGAAUCGAAACGUGGGGAGGCCGUUAAGAGCGUCGGGACCUCGAGAUUUAAGGAGGCGUUUGUGGUUGUACUCUGUGUUCACAAAGGUUAUGUGGAAGCCUUUGUAGUGGAGGAGUUUGGCUAAUUGCAUGAGAGGGUUUAUGUGACCUUGAGAUGGGAAUGGCACGAAGACUGCAUGUGACUUCUUUGAGGUCAAGGCAAUUGAACUCAUCCUCUCUCCCGUCUCUCCCA
rnacentral:lncRNA from 1 species